rnacentral:rRNA from 1 species
CAAUAGCGUAUAUUAAAGUUGUUGCAGUUAAAAAGCUCGUAGUUGAAUUUCGGGUCCCCGCGCUCGGCGCUUCAUUGUGCCGUCGUGGUGUCCCUCCUCGCCGUCAGGCGUCCUUUACUGUGAAAAAAUUAGAGUGUUCAAAGCAGGCAAUCGCUUGAAUACAUUAGCAUGGAAUAAUAAGAUAGGAUCUUGUCUAUUUUGUUGGUUGCGGACAAUGAUAAUGAUUAAUAGGGAUAGUUGGGGGUGUCCGUAUUGAGCUGUCAGAGGUGAAAUUCUUGGAUUUGCUCAAGACGAACUACUGCGAAAGCAUUCACCAAGGAUGUUUUCAUUGA